UGCAGCUGAACCUGCCGGUGAAGGCCCCACAUCCAGGACUGAGGCUGUGGGAGAUGCUGAGGGUGUGUCUGCAGGGAGGACUUCUCAAGCUCCAGGGCUGGAUGCUUGGCCCCAACCCAGCUCCCAUGGCAGGGGUCCUCCAAAAGGGAAGACCCAAGAUACUGCAGCCAAAAUGUCUCAUGAGGCAGAUGAAUUCCUGAGAGAAACACAGAAGGAAGCACCCGGAGGACAAG